rnacentral:rRNA from 1 species
UCUAAUACCGGAUAYGACUUCUGCAGGCAUCUGUGGWAGUGGAAAGCUCCGGCGGUACAGGAUGAGCCCGCGGCCUAUCAGCUUGUUGGUGGGGUAAUGGCCUACCAAGGCGACGACGGG